GUGGCGGAAGGGUGAGUAAGGUCACGGUAAUCAACCCCAUGGUUGGGUAUAGCCGCGGGAAACUGCGGGUAAUCCCCAGCGACGUCCGGAUCGGGCAUCCGAAUCGGACCAAAGUCCUGCCGCCGUGGGACGAGCCGUCGUGGUAUUAGGUCGUUGGCGGGGUAAUGGCCCACCAAGCCUAUGAUGCUCUACCGGGCGUGCGAGCGUGGCCCGGCACACUGGGACUGAGACACUGCCCAGACUCCUACGGGAGGCUGCAGUCGAGAAUCUUCGGCAAUGGGCGCAAGCCUGACCGAGCGACGCCGCGUGGAGGAUGAAGGCCUUCGGGUUGUAAACUCCUGUCGAGGGGGAAGAAGGUCGGGUAACCGGCUUGACCGAUCUCUGCAGGAAGCACGGGCUAAGUUCGUG
rnacentral:rRNA from 1 species